rnacentral:rRNA from 1 species
GUUAGGAAUAUUGGACAAUGGGCGCAAGCCUGAUCCAGCCAUGCCGCGUGAACGAUGAAGGCCUUCGGGUUGUAAAGUUCUUUAGCCGAUGAUUAUAAUGACUGUAGUCGGAAAAUAAGCCCCGGCUAACUUCGUGCCAGCAGCCGCGGUAAUACGAAGGGGGCGAGCGUUAUUCGGAAUCACUGGGCGUAAAGCGUGCGUAGGCGGUUUUGUAAGUUAGGAGUGAAAGCCCAGGGCUCAACCUUGGAAUUGCUCUUAAAACUGCAAGGCUCGAAUCUCGGAGAGGAUAGCGGAAUUUCCAGUGUAGCAGUGAAAUGCGUAGAUAUUGGAAGGAACACCAGUGGCGUAAGCGGCUAUCUGGACGAGUAUUGACGCUGAGGCACGAAAGCGUGGGGAUCAAACAGGAUUAGAAACCCGUGUAGUCC